rnacentral:rRNA from 1 species
AUGGCAGUCGGAGGGCGGCGCGCGGCGGCGGCGGCGUGCGGGCGGUGGUGCCUGGUGAUCCUCGCCGUGGCCUCCGCGCUCGGCGUCUCCGGGCCCGCGCUCUACUGGCGCUACAAUAAGGGCUUCUCCUCCGCCGCCGCGGCCGCCGUCUCCGCCCCCUCCUGCCCGCCCUGCACCUGCGACUGCCCGCCGCCGCUCUCCCUCCAGUCCAUCGCGCCCGGGCUCGUGAACUUCUCAAUUUCAGCUUGCGGCACAAAUGACCCUGAGCGUACCAAGGAGAUGGAGAAGCAGUUUGUUGAUCUCCUCAACGAGGAACUCAAGUUGCAGCAGGUUGUAGCUGAGGAGCACAUCCAUCACAUGAAUGCCACACUUGUCGAAGCAAAAAGACAGGCUACCCUGUACCAGCGAGAGGCGGAGAAGUGUAACGCGGCCACAGAGACUUGUGAGGAAGCCAGGGAGAAGUCUGAGGGGGCAAUCUCAAAGGAGAGGAAACUGACAGCACUGUGGGAACGCCGAGCUCGCGAAUCGGGUUGGCAGGAUUCUCGAGCCGCGACCGCCGCACGAUAG